GAAUUCCUUUGCUAAAACAUAGGCUGCAGCAGUUGCCGGAUUCUGACAAUAUAGCAAUUGCUUUUCCUGAUGAUGGAGCAUGGAAAAGAUUUCAUAAACAGCUGCAGCAUUUUCCUACGAUCGUAUGUGCCAAAGUUCGGGAAGGAGACCAAAGAAUUGUGCGGCUAAAGGAGGGAGAACCAAGAGGACGGCAUGUUGUGAUUGUUGAUGAUU
rnacentral:misc_RNA from 1 species